rnacentral:rRNA from 1 species
CCUACGGGAGGCAGCAGUGAGGAAUAUUGGUCAAUGGGCGGGAGCCUGAACCAGCCAAGCCGCGUGAGGGAAGAAGGUACAGCGUAUCGUAAACCUCUUUUGUCAGGGAACAAAGGCGGGGACUAGUCCCCGGAUGAGGGUACCUGAAGAAAAAGCAUCGGCUAACUCCGUGCCAGCAGCCGCGGUAAUACGGAGGAUGCGAGCGUUAUCCGGAUUUAUUGGGUUUAAAGGGUGCGCAGGCGGACUGGUAAGUCAGCGGGAAAAGCCCGGGGCUCAACCCCGGCGGGCCGUUGCAACUGGCGGGCUGGAGUUGGAGAGAAGUACGCGGAAUGCGCGGUGUAGCGGUGAAAUGCUUAGAUAUCGCGCAGAACCCCGAUUGCGAAGGCAGCGUACCGGCUCCACACUGACGCUGAGGCACGAAAGCGUGGGUAUCGAACAGGAUUAGAUACCCCUGUAGUC